rnacentral:rRNA from 1 species
AUUGAACGCUGGCGGCAGGCCUAACGCAUGCAAGUCGAGCGGAUGAAGGGAGCUUGCUCCUGGAUUCAGCGGCGGACGGGUGAGUAAUGCCUAGGAAUCUGCCUGGUAGUGGGGGAUAACGUCCGGAAACGGGCGCUAAUACCGCAUACGUCCUGAGGGAGAAAGUGGGGGAUCUUCGGACCUCACGCUAUCAGAUGAGCCUAGGUCGGAUUAGCAAGUUGGUGGGGUAAAGGCCUACCAAGGCGACGAUCCGUAACUGGUCUGAGAGGAUGAUCAGUCACACUGGAACUGAGACACGGUCCAGACUCCUACGGGAGGCAGCAGUGGGGAAUAUUGGACAAUGGGCGAAAGCCUGAUCCAGCCAUGCCGCGUGUGUGAAGAAGGUCUUCGGAUUGUAAAGCACUUUAAGUUGGGAGGAAGGGCAGUAAGUUAAUACCUUGCUGUUUUGACGUUACCAACAGAAUAAGCACCGGCUAACUUCGUG